AGAAGAGCAACUGUAUAUAGUAAAGCUAAUCAAUAGGACCUCUGGCACCUUAGUCAUGAAAUGAAUCAUCACAAUUAGCAAGAGAAAUUUGUAUAGCAUGUUGAUGCCAAAAUGACGAAUAACAUGUAGCAUAGUCCAGCAUACAUGACAGAUUUUCAUCGACCUUACAAUCAACACUAUUGUAAGCAUGACUUCCCUUCAUGAGUUAGAGAUUGUUAAACAUGGUAAGGCCACUAAACUAUCUCAAUCAAUUUUAAAAACAACACAUGUAGCAUAAGAAGUUCACAAUGCACUUUUAAAUCACGUGUAUGCAUAUAAAUUGUGUUUUUCACGACUGCAUUUGGUGCCACGGAGCUCCAUUCAGCUUGUUCUCGGAGUGAAUCUGAAAAACAUAAUGGAUUCUGUUAUACGUACCUAUUGCUGACCUGCAAAUUUGCUCAGGGGGCUAAAAAUAGUAACCUCAAAUUAUGUAGACCAAGCUAAGCAUAUAAACUUAAUUUACUGAAGCAACACACAGGGUAAUAGCAGAAGUAAAGUCUUAUUGUGACAUUCAUACCAUUGUGCAUGUAUAAGUUACUCAUAUUAAUAGUUGUUCUUUGAUAUGCAAAGUCAUUUGCCUGCAUGGUUUACCUUUCAUUUUCCCUACCUUAUUUCUGAAACUUUUGGAUCUUCUUUAUCAGAAGUUCAGAACCUUGUCUGCAUAGUUAUAAACAUCUUAUUUCUGAAACUUGUGGCUCUACUUUUUUAGGACCUUGUUUGGUAAGUUAUAAAAUUUAUAUGAAAAUAUCAAUAAUUUGAACCGGACCUCCACAAUAUGCAGAGAGAAAAAUAAUGACAAACAAAGAAUGAGACAUGAAUGCUAUUAUGAACACAUGGUACAUAUGCAGAUGUUGAUAAUCUCUUUUUCAGAAACACCACUCAGAACUGGAGCUUUAAAUAUGACCGUAGAAACAUGAGCCUUCAGUGCUUCUGAACUUUCUUUUAAACUCAACCUCUAAGCUUUUUAGUUUACUGUGAUUAUCAUUUUGUCAGAUAUACACACAUUGAUUUCUUGAAUAAUCAACCUAACUGACUGGCCAACUGCCAUCCAACAUCACCAUGCCAAUUUAAGGUGUGGCUCCGCCUUUUUUAUCAACGGGAAUACAAAAGGGAUGAAACAUAAAAGGCCGUAUGGCCACAAUCAAGUAUACCAGCGCGCUUCUGACAGUGCCAGACAUGACCAGCCGCACCGCUCUCCAUCUAGCCUAGAGCUCAACCAAAUACAACGACAUGACCACACAACAGCAAGACCAACUAAAAGAAAAUCAGCGGGACCAUAGGACGAACUCUGCCUAGGUGACACAAAGACAGUGACAAUAGCAAAGCGAAAGACCAAAUCUGACAGCCGCACACCUAAACACGAAUGGCACCACCGGCAUUGGCCUCAAACCGCCCGGCAAACCUAGAAGUACCAAGAUUUAUUCAGCCAUAAAAAAUGCUUCUGUACUAAGCAAUGGAAAGAUGCCAAUUUCCAAACCUCAUGAGAUCUGAACAAAUUAUCUAGAUGAGAAAAUCGCAAGAACAAAAAUAUGGAAAUAACACAGGAAUGCUGACAAAUGAAAAAUAAGGAUCCUUGCCUUAAUGCAUCACAACUUCAAAUCAUCGGCACUCUACUCGGCAAGUAAAUUCUGAAUCCACAUAUUUUAGCCAUAAGACCUACAUUUACAAUUGACGGACUCUGCAGGCAAAGCAGUUACUAACUUUUCUGGAAUAUAUAGUAAAUUUGGAUGUGCUCUUACAUAGCUGAAAUAAAAUAGUAGAUGCUAAUUCUUCCAGCAAGGGAGACAUCAGAUAAAUACUAAAUUACCAUCAUCUAGCGUACACCGGCCAAAAUAUAAGGAAAAUGAUGUUCAGUUUCAGAGUAAAAAUGGGAUCAGUUGAAGGAAUAUCCUAGUUUUACAUGUGAGUAUUGCCAAAUUAAAUUUGUACAUCAAAGAAUAUCACAGAGCAUGGGAGCAAUAGUAAACUGAAAUUGUCAAAUAAGUCAUCAAAUUAGAACUCAGUAUCCAAAUCCAAUGAGCCCACUCGUGGCAUCAGAGAUGACAUAUAGAGGUUGCCAGCCAAAUCAAUGGAACAUGAAGCAAUUAAAAAUCCUAUAACAUGAGCAUCACGGGAUAUAUAAUUGUGUUAUAAGUGACAGAAGCAUCCCUACAAUAAAUAAUUAUAAUUGCUAAGGCUCUAUGUCCCUUCUUCUCAUGUGCCUACAUCUCCAUUUCUUAGCACAUCUUUUAGACAAAUUAAGAACCGAGAUAGAUAGAAAUCAACGCAAAUCCCUUUGUUGUGCCAGUGUACAACAUAUGUGAUCAGCGAUUGUUAAUUUUGCCUUCCCCUAUGCCCUUCUGUAUUCAGAAGACAAACUGCCAACAGUUUCUUGGAAAUUUAAAACGACUUCUUUUGUUGUUAUAUACUUAAAAUACCAAUUCGGAAUGAUUCUAUCAAAUCUACAACAGUAAAUUGAAUUUACAAUAGUGUGCCUAAAUAAGAAGUUGAUUUGGUCCCAAGAAGAUGCUAGACAUACAUGUAUUUAUUGAUUGAUCCAUGUCAAAGAGAGCUUACACAAGUCAGAGGUUCGCGGAUAUUUGACAGGCUUCUUAAUUAGAGAGAAGCUGUCCGGCCGGUCGUGGAGAUUGUAGGUAAAGGUCCUAUAUGUAAGCAGCCAUUGGACAACAAUGUACCAGAUUAGUAAACACCUCAACCAAACAUAUAACAAAAAUCAAACGAUGGUACAUCCUAUAAAACGAAACACCCACGAAAGUGAUGAACACCACACUGAGACACUAACCCACACCAAAUAAACCAUCGACAAAAAUUUGGCUUUGUUUUAUUCAAUCAAAUGGAGCCGGGGCAAGAGCCCUUUUCUUCUAAAAAAACAAACCCAUCGACAGCACCACAUCCAGGCAGCCACAAAGCACUUAAUCCAAACCCCAAUGGAUCGCACCAACAUCAACACAUGAUGACAGACAGGAAGCAUCCACCACUACAGCCCCUACCCUGUAAUCCAUGGGGAGAAAGAAAAAUCUGGGAGGACACCCUCCGCAGCCAAAACAAGCCUGUCAAAUAUUGACCGGCACCGGCAUGGAAACAACACCACAAAGGCAGAAAUAAACCAUCUUCAUUCCUUUGCACAAUAUGUUGCACUUAUCAUCAAUAUUGUAGUGAAACUGUACCUGAAAUUAAUAGUAAGACAACGGAAAAUUAUAUUCACUCUUUACCACAGUAAGGAAGAUAACUUUGCCAUACCGACCUCUAGUUCAUACGCGGCAAAAGCAUUGUGGAUACCAAUCCACCGCGCCGCUCGCAUUCCCGUUGUAAUAUUCUCCUUAAAUUACUAAUCACCCACCGCAAGUGGUGCCCUCUCUUCUAGCCAACUUCUUACAUAAACUGGCCACAGUAACCCACCAAGGGAUUCAGCUGCUGAACCAAUUCAUAGGCUAAAAAUGGAUGACUACUUUGCACUAAAGUGAGCUGCCAAUAAGAAGUCAGUUUGUAAUGUGAUAUCAUUUCGUUCAAACCUGUUCUCCUUAAUAAACUAAAAAUAAGGGAGGAGCUAAAUUACCAAUACUAUAUGGAAAAGUUGAGAAGUGUAUCAAAAAUCAACCUCCGUAAUCGACGGAUGACCCCACCACCCGCGCUCCGCCGCCGUCGUGCAAGGCUCGAGCUCGCCCAGCCGGACCAGCGCACCACCGUUAG
rnacentral:lncRNA from 1 species